UACAGAGGUCUCAAGCGUUGUUCGGAUUCAUUGGGCGUAAAGGGCGCGUAGGCGGCCACCGCAAGUCAAUUGUGAAAUCUCCGGGCUUAACCCGGAAAGGUCAACUGAUACUGCGGGGCUAGAGUGCGGAAGGGGCAACUGGAAUUCUCGGUGUAGCGGUGAAAUGCGUAGAUAUCGAGAGGAACACCUGCGGCGAAGGCGGGUUGCUGGGCCGACACUGACGCUGAUGCGCGAAAGCCAGGGGAGCGAACGGG
rnacentral:rRNA from 1 species